rnacentral:rRNA from 1 species
CGCGUAGGUGGUCACUUAAGUCAGAUGUGAAAUCCCUGGGCUUAACCUAGGAAUUGCAUUUGAAACUGAGUGGCUAGAGUAUGGGAGAGGGAAGUGGAAUUUCCGGUGUAGCGGUGAAAUGCGUAGAUAUCGGAAGGAACACCAGUGGCGAAGGCGACUUCCUGGCCCAUUACUGACACUGAGGCGCGAAAGCGUGGGGAGCGAACAGGAUUAGAUACCCUGGUAGUCCACGCCGUAAACGAUGAGAACUAGAUGUUAGGGGUCUUAGAACCUUUAGUAUCGCAGCAAACGCGUUAAGUUCUCCGCCUGGGGAGUACGGCCGCAAGGUUAAA